CCUACGGGAGGCAGCAGUGAGGAAUAUUGGUCAAUGGCCGGAAGGCUGAACCAGCCAAGCCGCGUGAAGGACGAAGGUGCCAAGCAUUGUAAACUUCUUUUGUCAAGGGACAAAAUCAGGCUCGAGAGCCUGACCGAGGGUACUUGAAGAAAAAGCAUCGGCUAACUCCGUGCCAGCAGCCGCGGUAAUACGGAGGAUGCGAGCGUUAUCCGGAUUUAUUGGGUUUAAAGGGUGCGUAGGCGGGCUGUUAAGUCAGUGGUAAAAGCCCGGGGCUCAACCCCGGCGAGCCGUUGAAACUGGCUGUCUUGAGUACAGUUGAGGUAGGCGGAAUUCGUGGUGUAGCGGUGAAAUGCUUAGAUAUCACGAAGAACCCCGAUUGCGAAGGCAGCUUACUAAACUGUGACUGACAUUGAUGCUCGAAAGUGUGGGUAUCAAACAGGAUUAGAUACCCGGGUAGUC
rnacentral:rRNA from 1 species